UUAAAAUAGGUGUAUGAAGCAUUUUAAUUUUUGAGGUUAGAGGAAAAUAUUUUAUC
rnacentral:tRNA from 1 species